rnacentral:lncRNA from 1 species
GUUGUUUGAGUUUAGAGAAUGAAGUGUUCUAUUCCAGAUUGAAAGGCUCCAUCAUUUUGUAUAUUAGUUCUAAAUUUCAAAUAGGGAUUUCCAAACUUGUGAAUGAAUUGGUAUCAAUUACUUUUUAUGUGAUUUUAAUAACUGACAAAUAGUAUUCUUUUUUACAUAAUAUUAAUAUUAAUGCCUAACAAGUGUAACGUUGUUAGUAAAAUGAACCAUUUCAAAAGAAUAAAGUGGUGAUGCCCAAUUGUUGGGUGCAAUUUCGUGAAAGGUACUACUUUAAAGCCCAACUUCGAAGACAUGUGUCAUCAUGUCACAA